rnacentral:rRNA from 1 species
CAGCCAUGCCGCGUGUGUGAAGAAGGCCUUUUGGUUGUAAAGCACUUUAAGCGAGGAGGAGGAGCUCUUGGUUAAUACCCAAGAUGCUUGGACGUUACUCGCAGAAUAAGCACCGGCUAACUCUGUGCCAGCAGCCGCGGUAAUACAGAGGGUGCAAGCGUUAAUCGGAUUUACUGGGCGUAAAGCGCGCGUAGGUGGCCAAUUAAGUCAAAUGUGAAAUCCCCGAGCUUAACUUGGGAAUUGCAUUCGAUACUGGUUGGCUAGAGUAUGGGAGAGGAUGGUAGAAUUCCAGGUGUAGCGGUGAAAUGCGUAGAGAUCUGGAGGAAUACCGAUGGCGAAGGCAGCCAUCUGGCCUAAUACUGACACUGAGGUGCGAAAGCAUGGGGAGCAAACAGGAUUAGAUACCCUGGUAGUCCAUGCCGUAAACGAUGUCUACUAGCCGUUGGGGCCUUUGA